AUUGAACGCUGGCGGAAUGCUUUACACAUGCAAGUCGAGCGGCAGCACGGGGGCAACCCUGGUGGCGAGCGGCGAACGGGUGAGUAAUACAUCGGAACAUGCCCAGUCGUGGGGGAUAACACUUCGAAAGAAGUGCUAAUACCGCAUACGUCCUGAGGGAGAAAGCGGGGGAUCGCAAGACCUCGCGCGAUUGGAGUGGCCGAUGUCAGAUUAGCUAGUUGGUGGGGUAAAGGCCUACCAAGGCAACGAUCUGUAGCUGGCCUGAGAGGAUGAUCAGCCACACUGGGGCUGAGACACGGCCCAGACUCCUACGGGAGGCAGCAGUGGGGAAUUUUGGACAAUGGGGGCAACCCUGAUCCAGCCAUUCCGCGUGAGUGAAGAAGGCCUUCGGGUUGUAAAGCUCUUUCGGCAGGAACGAAACGGCGAGCUCUAACAUAGCUUGCUAAUGACGGUACCUGAAGAAGAAGCACCGGCUAACUACGUG
rnacentral:rRNA from 1 species